GGCGACGUGGCCGAGUGGUCAGGCAAGGGUCUGCAAAACCCUCCACGGCAGUUCGAUUCUGCCCGUCGCCUCCA
rnacentral:tRNA from 1 species